AUGCGCCUAACCCUUAUCGUGA
rnacentral:siRNA from 1 species